rnacentral:rRNA from 1 species
UACGUAGGGGGCAAGCGUUGUCCGGAAUCAUUGGGCGUAAAGAGCGUGUAGGCGGCUCGGUAAGUCCGCUGUAAAAGUCCAGGGCUCAACCCUGGAAAGCCGGUGGAAACUGUCGAGCUAGAGUCCGGAAGAGGCGAGUGGAAUUCCUGGUGUAGCGGUGAAAUGCGCAGAUAUCGGGAGGAACACCGGUGGCGAAGGCGGUUCUCUGGGCCUUACCUGACACUGAGGAGCGAAAGCGUGGGGAGCGAACAGG